UGAGCUGCGUGGGUUUGUGCCUCGGUGCCUGUGGUUCGGAGCCUUGUGCUGGCACCGGGAGCACCGGGUUGGCUACGUUGACACUCUUGGCGUUGGGUGGGCGGCAACUUGGGGGUCACAUGAGCCAGUGGCAUCAUGCCCGUGGGCGCUGUGGUCAGGGUCGCGGCUUUUCCGGACGUUCAUCGGCCAAGAGGAAGGGCGGAAAGCAAAUCCCGGAAAGGUGGAAAGACUAUCUGCCAGUUGGACAGCAGAUGCCUGGGACUCGUUUCAUUGCUUUCAAAGUUCCUUUAAAAAUGACAUUUGAAAAGAAUCUUGCUCCAGAAGAAUGUUUUUCCCCCUUGGAUCUUUUUUAACAAACUCCAAGAACAGAAUGAUGAACUUGGGCUGAUUAUUGACUUAACAUAUACUCGCCGCUAUUAUAAGCCAGAGGUAAAUGGAACCCAUAAUUGAAAAUGACUUUCUCCCUGAUACUGUAAUAAUUCAUAGUAAUCCAGUACUUAUCAUCGUAUGCUAAGGUGAAUCCUGGCCUUCUUUCAUGGGUUCAGAAAGGGAAGCUAGUGGUUUCCUUAAAUACACAUUUCUAAUUGCUGUUUCAAAACGAGAUUUAAGAUAUGAAUUGAACUAUAGUAUCUGGCAGUAGGCUCUAGAUAUGCUUAAGAAAUUCUAUAAGCUUCCAUGUUCUAUAUUUUGAAAAUGAAGUAAACUUUUAGUAACAAUAGUAGUAGCCUAAAAGGAAAGAAAGGUAUGUCCAUUAUGUCUUUAGCACUUAUUUUAAGCAGUUGCCUGAGCAUGUUUAAGCAUCACGGUAAAAGACAGUUGUUCUCUAAGUUUUAUGCUUUCUUUUCCUAAUACCUUCUGAUAUAAUACAGAAACCCAUAUAUUCUCUUGGCCCAUGUAGGACAUACUAGUGCAAAAGAAUUAUCCUUCUGAUCUGUUCCAUGGCCUUGGAAGACAGUAACACCUAAUGUUUGUUAAUAUUUGUAUAGCAGUUUGCCAUCUACAAAGUUCUUUCAUAUCCAUUGACUUAGUUAAUCUUCACAAGAAUCCUUUGCUGCUAAAGUGGAAGUAGUACUGAUAUCUCCUACUGAGUGCUUACUCUGCACUAAGCUGAGAGGAUAGACAACUACAAUUACUAAUC